AGGCGUGAGCCACCACGCCCGGCUUGCCCCCACCCCUUAAUACUAUCAUGUCAAGUCUUAGAUUCCAACAUAUGAAUUUUGGAAAGACACAUACGUCCAAACCAUAAGAGUCACCUUAUUAGCAUAAACUCACAUAUGGCUUGAAAGGAGCUCCUUAUGUAUAAAAAAGAUGCUCCUAUCACUCACGGUAUUUCAAGAGUCUUAGGAGCUUUGUGCUGGGAACCAGAGACAAAGACCAAAUAUAUUUUUUGUUAUACCACAACCCACAGGUGAUCCUGAUGCUCAUGGCCAUGCAUUGAGAACAACUGUGUAAGAAGAUAUGGAUAAUGCUUGAAAACUACUAGUAUUAGCACCAUUUUGCAUAUACUCCAAGGAAGAUCUCAAUAAAUGCUUAAUGGAAAUAAGUAAAGGUAUGAAUGCUGGACCUAAUACAGGAGGAAGACCCAGGUGAUUUGUGUACAAUUUGGACACAAGCUCUUGCCAACCACCUGAGAGAUUCCAACAAUGAGAUGAGAUUCCUUACCUUGAACCAGAUAAUUUGGAAUGAAUGUCUAGGCAGAACUUCUGCUUCAGAAUGACCACAAUUAACUACCAGACAACCAACUUUGGGGACAUAUCAGUAGGUACGAUAACAGGGGAAUGAGCCCUAGACUUAAAAUCAGAGGAUCUCAGUUUGCAUCCUGGCUCUGUGCCUUGCUAAUUGAGAUGCUUGGGGUAAGUUGCUUGCUUGAUGGUUUUAUGCACUUAGCCAUUCAUUCAAUGCCUUUCACUGAGAAACUACUGUGUGCCUAGUACUGUGCCGUACGUUUUACACAUUAUCUCACUUAAUUAAUACAACACCUCUAGUAGAUAAUCAUCUUCCCUAUACAUAAUUUUAGAGAGGAAGAAAAAUCACAUGUUGGGGCUCUCCUAGCAAUUGUACACUUAAGUCUCCAGACUUUAUUUCCAGGGUCCUGACCUUUAAUUCCUGGGGCACAGUUAUUAUUAAUUUUCCUGCAUGACCUCUGAGACCUCAUGGGCCCAUAAAGGGAAUCAAGCUUGGAUGAAAUUUUAGAGUUGGAAAGAACAUGAGAGAUGGUCUAAUUCACCUGCAUUCAAAUGAAGAUUCAGAGUCAAGAUCCCAAAUUAGAAAAUGGGAGGUGACAUUUCCAGAAUAACUCCUUCCCUCACUCUGGGGCUCUCCAGCUUUGGCUUCUCCUGGGUCAACAGGUGGUCCGUCAGAGAGGCAACAUUCAUGGUGAGUGGUGUCCGAUCCAAGAUGUCUGCAGAGGCUGGCCAUCCUGAAGUGUUCAUUUAGAUACUAAGGACCGAUGGUCCCUGCCUCUUGCCUUCAUCUGAACCUGACACUCCAAAUCGAUGCCUAACGGAUCUUUCCAUUUUUACAUCAGACUAACCAAUUAAAAACAACCAAACAAACCUAUGUGUACUGGUGGGAGGGAAGGGGAAUGGAAAGUACUAUGCAUUUGUUAGAAGAAACCCUCAAAUGUAACUGAACUGGAUGAAAGUUAUGAAGUUCUCUAUGCACACAAACUAGAAAACCUAGAAGAAAUGGAUAAAUUUCUGGACACAUACACUUUUUCAAGUCUGAACCAGGAAGAAAUUGAUUCCCUGAACAGACCAAUAAUGGUCUCUCUAGUUGAAUUAGUAAUAAAUACCCUACCAACCAAAAAAGCCCAGGACCAGAUAGAUUCACAGCCAAAUUCUACCAAAUGUACAGAGAAGAGACGGUACAAUUCCUACUGAAACCAUUCCAAAAAAUUGAUGAGGAGGGACUCCUCCCCAGCUCAUUCUUUUUUUUUUUUUUUUUGAGAUGGAAUCUUACUCUGUCACCAGGCUGGAGUGCAGUGGCACGAUCUCAGCUCACUGCAACCUCCACCUCCCGGGUUCAAGCGAUUCUCCUGCCUCAGCCUCCCAAGUAGCUGGGACUACAGGUGCACACCACCACACCCA
rnacentral:lncRNA from 1 species